AGAGGGAAGAGGGAAGGAGG
rnacentral:miRNA from 1 species